UCUAGAAGAAAAAAGGUAAUACUUUUUAAGGAAACCUUCAUCCUAUGGCGGCCCGAUUUCUUCUUAGAGGAACUCGUCUCAUAAUCGACAAUCCUCGUUAUUUUUAACUCUUUCUUUUCUCUUAUACCGCCGUCUCUAGAAUCAGAUUCUUUUUCAUAAAAAAAGUAUUCUAUUAAGUCAGGUAAAGGUGAGGACUAUGAAAGAGAGAAGAUAAGUUACUUAUAUAAACAAUUUUUGGAUUCUUUUAUUAACAUUUUAAUGAAAUAGGAUUUAAAAGUAAUUUUUCAAUAAUAUUUUACAAUGAACCAGUAAAAUUGGGUGC
rnacentral:rRNA from 1 species